UAAGGAAUAUUGGACAAUGGUCGCAAGACUGAUCCAGCCAUGCCGCGUGAAGGAUGAAGGCCCUAUGGGUUGUAAACUUCUUUUGUAUGGGAAAAAACCUCUUUACGUGUAAAGAGCUGAUGGUACCAUAAGAAUAAGGAUCGGCUAACUCCGUGCCAGCAGCCGCGGUAAUACGGAGGAUCCAAGCGUUAUCCGGAUUCAUUGGGUUUAAAGGGUGCGUAGGCGGAAUGAUAAGUCAGUGGUGAAAUCCUGCAGCUUAACUGCAGAACUGCCAUUGAUACUGUCAAUCUUGAGUAUAUUUGAUGUGGGCGGAAUGUGUCAUGUAGCGGUGAAAUGCUUAGAUAUGACACAGAACACCGAUUGCGAAGGCAGCUCACAAAACUAUAACUGACGCUGAGGCACGAAAGCGUGGGUAUCAAACAG
rnacentral:rRNA from 1 species